UCCGUUGAUGAAAGGCGCUUCGGCGUCACCUUGAGAUGGCCUUGCGGUGCAUUAGCUAGUUGGUGGGGUAACGGCCCACCAAGGCGACGAUGCAUAGCCGACCUGAGAGGGUGAUCGGCCACACUGGGACUGAGACACGGCCCAGACUCCUACGGGAGGCAGCAGUAGGGAAUCUUCCACAAUGGACGAAAUCUGAUGGAGCAACGCCGCGUGAGUGAUGAAGGUUUUCGGAUCGUAAAACUCUGUUGUAAGGGAAGAACACGUACGAGAGGGAAUGCUCGUACCUUGACGGUACCUUACGAGAAAGCCACGGCUAACUACGUGCCAGCAGCCGCGGUAAUACGUAGGUGGCAAGCGUUGUCCGGAAUUAUUGGGCGUAAAGCGCGCGCAGGCGGCCUUUUAAGUCUGAUGUGAAAGCCCCCGGCUCAACCGGGGAGGGCCAUUGGAAACUGGAAGGCUUGAGUACAGAAGAGAAGAGUGGAAUUCCACGUGUAGCGGUGAAAUGCGUAGAGAUGUGGAGGAACACCAGUGGCGAAGGCGACUCUUUGGUCUGUAACUGACGCUGAGGCGCGAAAGCGUGGGGAGCAAACAGGAUUAGAUACCCUGGUAGUCCACGCCGUAAACGAUGAGUGCUAGGUGUUGGGGGGUUUCCGCCCCUCAGUGCUGAAGCUAACGCAUUAAGCACUCCGCCUGGGGGAGUACGGCCGCCAGGCUGAAACUCCAAAGGAAAUUGGACGGGGGACCCCGCACAAAGCGGGUGGGAGCCAUGGUGGGUUUUAAUUUCGAAGGC
rnacentral:rRNA from 1 species